UACGUAGGGGGCGAGCGUUGUCCGGAGUUACUGGGCGUAAAGCGCACGCAGGCGGUCUGCUAAGUUUGGAGUGACAGUUGGUGGCUUAACUGCCAAAGUGCUUCGAAAACUGACAGACUUGAGGGCUUCAGAGGGACACGGAAUUCCGGGUGGAGUGGUGAAAUGCGUAAAGAUCCGGAGGAACACCAAAGGCGAAGGCAGUGUCCUGGGGAGUACCUGACGCUCAGGUGCGAAAGCCAGGGGAGCGAACGGG
rnacentral:rRNA from 1 species